CAAGAAGCUCUACUUCGAGAAGAUGUUAACAGAAGGAAUAUUUGAUUGAGAGACUUUUCUCGACUACUAGCUGAUAUCGUUUUUCAGCAGUAGAUAAAAGCAAAUGCUCUUUUUAAACCUCCAGUGGUUACUGGAAAGAACUUUGGUGGAAAAAAUUGAGUUUUCCUGGAACAAGAUCAAAGAUAUAGCACAUGGGAAAGCUUCUCAGACACACGUGUCUUUUUGGGAAUCAAAACUGGAUGAAUUUCUAGAUAUAACAUGUGCAAGUGUGAAAUUAUGUUAUGUAACGAGUUGUGUUUGAAAACUUAUUCUUACGUCAAACAAGUACAUAUUAAAUGAACUUGUGUAAAAGAGAAAAAAAUUUCAAAGGUUGAACUUCUAUGGCUUAAUGCCCAAAGGAAAAAAAGAGGAUCUAUUUCAAAAUACCAGAUGGGUUUCAAUGAUAUUAAAGAGACCGCGAGACAGUUUUCGCGAGAGGAGAAAAAAAUGAAGAGAAAGUCUUACGCAUGAAACUCGUACGCAUGAAGUUAAGGAGUGUCUGGAAAAAACUUUUUGCAUUAGACAAUUUUGGAUAAUGAAUGAAUCACCCACCUUGUCUUCCAUAUUAAAAAUGUAUCCAAAAUUUCAAACCAUUCCAGAACUAUUAGAUGUCGAACUUCAAAUGAUGUUUUCUGACUGCACUACAGAUUUUUUAUCA